rnacentral:rRNA from 1 species
UACGUAGGGGGCUAGCGUUGUCCGGAUUUAUUGGGCGUAAAGAGCGUGUAGGCGGCCAGGUAGGUCCGCUGUGAAAGUCCGAGGCUCAACCUCGGAAUGUCGGCGGAAACCCUCUGGCUAGAGUCCGGAAGAGGAGAGUGGAAUUCCCGGUGUAGCGGUGAAAUGCGCAGAUAUCGGGAAGAACACCCGUAGCGAAGGCGGCACUCUGGGCCGGAACUGACGCUGAGGAGCGAAAGCGUGGGGAGCGAACAGG